AGUGAACGCUGGCGGUAGGCCUAACACAUGCAAGUCGAACGGCAGCACAGUAAGAGCUUGCUGUUACGGGUGGCGAGUGGCGGACGGGUGAGGAAUACAUCGGAAUCUACUUUUUCGUGGGGGAUAACGUAGGGAAACUUACGCUAAUACCGCAUACGACCUACGGGUGAAAGCAGGGGAUCUUCGGACCUUGCGCGAUUGAAUGAGCCGAUGUCGGAUUAGCUGGUUGGCGGGGUAAAGGCCCACCAAGGCGACGAUCCGUAGCUGACCUGAGAGGAUGAGCGGCAACAUGGGGACGGAGACACGGCCCACACUCCUACGGGAGGCAGCAGUAGGGAAUGUUCCGCAAUGGACGCAAGUCUGACGGAGCAAUGCCGUGUGAGAGAAGAAGGUCUUCUGAGCGUAAAGCUUUUUUGGUAGAAAAGAAAAGAGAAGAGAGGAAACGUUAUGCGUGUGACGGUAGCUAAACAGAAAGCAACGGCUACCUACGUG
rnacentral:rRNA from 1 species